rnacentral:RNase_P_RNA from 1 species
CGAGUAAACCGGAUGGCCGCAUGCGUUUCAGCGCAUGAGGAAAGUCCGAGCACCGCAGGGCAGGGUGCUGGGUAAUACCCAGUGGAGGCGACUCUAAGGAGAGUGCAACAGAAAUAUACCGCGGCCUUAUAAAAAGGACGUAAGGGUGGAAAGGUGAGGUAAGAGCUCACCAGCGGCCUGGCGACUUGUCCGCUCUGUAAACCCCACCUGGUGCAAGAUUAAUAGGGAAGCGCCGUUGGCGGCCCGCCAAGCUUCCGGGUAAUCGCUUGAGCCUGCCGGCGACGGCAGGCCUAGACAGAUGGCCAUUCAAGACAGAACUCGGCUUACAGGUUUGCUCGUAUU